rnacentral:rRNA from 1 species
GACGAACGCUAGCGAUAGGCCUAACACAUGCAAGUCGAGGGGCAUCACAUGAAGUAGCAAUACGGAUGGUGGCGACCGGCGCACGGGUGAGUAACACGUAUGCAACCUGCCUUCAACAAGGGGAUAACCCGUUGAAAGACGGACUAAUACCCUAUAACACAGGGGUCCCGCAUGGGAAUAUUUGUUAAAGGACAACCGGUUGAAGAUGGGCAUGCGUUCCAUUAGCUAGUUGGCGGGUAACGGCCCACCAAGGCAACGAUGGAUAGGGGAACUGAGAGGUUUAUCCCCCACACUGGUACUGAGACACGGACCAGACUCCUACGGGAGGCAGCAGUGAGGAAUAUUGGUCAAUGGACGCAAGUCUGAACCAGCCACGUCGCGUGAAGGAAGACGGCCCUACGGGUUGUAAACUUCUUUUAUACGGGAAUAAAGUGCCCCACGCGUGGGGUUUUGCAUGUACCGUAUGAAUAAGGAUCGGCUAACUCCGUG